UUUUCAGCAGGUUAAGGUGAAUCAGUGUAUGAGGCCAAUAGAAACCAUUUGUUGCCAUUUUAGUUCCGGCCACAGAAUAAAACGGCUUGAUCAGCUGCUGAAAACUUCGCUAAGGUUGCGUAACUCUGGCCUGGAUCAGUCACUGCAGAACCGCUGCUUUCAACCAGAAUAUGAAAAUAAAACACAUCCUUAUGUAUUGAAGGCAUUUAAGUCACUGACGCCUCGCCUGGAGAGUCACUGCCAGCAUCUGGACGCGCACACGAGGAGGCUGCCAAAAAAAAGCGUUACGCGCUUUUACGCAUGAGAGUAAGAGAGUAAGAGAGAAAGAUCGCCGUGAAAACAAAAGCUGAAGGAAACGGCUGAAAGGAGCCCAGCCUCACUUUUCCAGCGCUACACGUUUGAUUUUGAAGAAUAAGAGCCCCCUUGCAGGAGAGCGCUCUCUGAAUGAUUGCCACACGUUACCUGAACUGUCAGCAGGACCGUGUUCUAUGGUCAGACGAGACCAAGUAGCUUUUUUGGUGGCCUACCAGGGCUGAUAUGACUGCUAGGAGUCCA